CACGUAGGGUGCGAGCGUUGUCCGGAAUUAUUGGGCGUAAAGAGCUUGUAGGCGGUUUGUCGCGUCUGCCGUGAAAAUUCGAGGCUCAACCUCGAACUUGCGGUGGGUACGGGCAGACUAGAGUGUGGUAGGGGAGACUGGAAUUCCUGGUGUAGCGGUGAAAUGCGCAGAUAUCAGGAGGAACACCGGUGGCGAAGGCGGGACUCUGGGCCGAUACUGACGCUGAGGAGCGAAAGCGUGGGGAGCAAACAGG
rnacentral:rRNA from 1 species